rnacentral:rRNA from 1 species
GACGAACGCUGGCGGCGUGCUUAACACAUGCAAGUCGAACGGAAAGGCCCUGCUUUUGUGGGGUGCUCGAGUGGCGAACGGGUGAGUAACACGUGAGUAACCUGCCCUUGACUUUGGGAUAACUUCAGGAAACUGGGGCUAAUACCGGAUAGGAGCUCCUGCUGCACGGUGGGGGUUGGAAAGUUUCGGCGGUUGGGGAUGGACUCGCGGCUUAUCAGCUUGUUGGUGGGGUAGUGGCUUACCAAGGCUUUGACGGGUAGCCGGCCUGAGAGGGUGACCGGCCACAUUGGGACUGAGAUACGGCCCAGACUCCUACGGGAGGCAGCAGUGGGGAAUAUUGCACAAUGGGCGGAAGCCUGAUGCAGCAACGCCGCGUGCGGGAUGACGGCCUUCGGGUUGUAAACCGCUGUCGCCUGUGACGAAGCGUGAGUGACGGUAAUGGGUAAAGAAGCACCGGCUAACUACGUG